ACGUGAUCUGAGUUCAGACCGGAGUAAUCCAGGUCAGUUUCUAUCUAUAGCUGAGCUUAUUCCAGUACGAAAGGACAGAAAAAGCGUAGCCCAUGCCUCAGGCAAGCCACUAUUAAUAAUUUUUGAUUUCAACUUAACUUUCAGUUAACCAACAACCUCCCUCAAAAAAAGAGA
rnacentral:rRNA from 1 species